rnacentral:rRNA from 1 species
GGGGAGCGGCAGACGGGUGAGUAACGCGUGGGAAUCUACCCAUCUCUACGGAAUAACUCAGGGAAACUUGUGCUAAUACCGUAUACGCCCUUCGGGGGAAAGAUUUAUCGGAGAUGGAUGAGCCCGCGUUGGAUUAGCUAGUUGGUGGGGUAAUGGCCUACCAAGGCGACGAUCCAUAGCUGGUCUGAGAGGAUGAUCAGCCACACUGGGACUGAGACACGGCCCAGACUCCUACGGGAGGCAGCAGUGGGGAAUAUUGGACAAUGGGCGCAAGCCUGAUCCAGCCAUGCCGCGUGAGUGAUGAAGGCCCUAGGGUUGUAAAGCUCUUUCACCGGUGAAGAUAAUGACGGUAACCGGAGAAGAAGCCCCGGCUAACUUCGUGCCAGCAGCCGCGGUAAUACGAAGGGGGCUAGCGUUGUUCGGAAUUACUGGGCGUAAAGCGCACGUAGGCGGAUUGUUAAGUUAGGGGUGAAAUCCCAGGGCUCAACCCUGGAACUGCCUCUAAUACUGGCAAUCUCAAGUCCGAGAGAGGUGAGUGGAAUUCCGAGUGUGAAGGUGAAAUUCGUAGAUAUUCGGAGGGAACACCAGUGGCGAAGGGCGGCUCACUGGCUCGGU